rnacentral:rRNA from 1 species
GACGAACGCUGGCGGCGUGCUUAACACAUGCAAGUCGAACGGUGAUGCGGAGCUUGCUCCGCGGAUCAGUGGCGAACGGGUGAGUAACACGUGAGUAACCUGCCCUUGACUCUGGGAUAAGCGUUGGAAACGACGUCUAAUACCGGAUAUGACUUACGGACGCAUGUUCUGUGGGUGGAAAGAUUUUUCGGUUGGGGAGUGGACGUCGCGGCCUAUCAGCUUGUUGGUGA